UUAAGUGAAUAAGGGCGCACGGUGGAUGCCUUGGCACUAGGAGCCGAUGAAGGACGGGACUAACACCGAUAUGCUUUGGGGAGCUGUAAGUAAGCUAUGAUCCAGAGAUUUCCGAAUGGGGGAACCCAAUAUCUUUUAUAGGAUAUUACUUUUCAGUGAAUACAUAGCUGAUUAGAGGUAGACGCAGAGAACUGAAACAUCUUAGUACCUGCAGGAAGAGAAAGAAAAUUCGAUUCCCUGAGUAGCGGCGAGCGAAACGGGAAGAGCCCAAACCAACAAGCUUGCUUGUUGGGGUUGUAGGACUCCAAUAUGGUAGUCUGUUAGUAUAGUUGAAGGAUUUGGAAAAUUCCGCUAAAGAGGGUGAAAGCCCCGUAGACGAAAUGCUGACAACACCUAGGAGGAUCCUGAGUACGGCGGAACACGAGAAAUUCCGUCGGAAUCCGCGGGGACCAUCCCGCAAGGCUAAAUACUCCCUAGUGACCGAUAGUGAACCAGUACCGUGAGGGAAAGGUGAAAAGCACCCCGGAAGGGGAGUGAAAUAGAUCCUGAAACCGUGUGCCUACAACAAGUCAAAGCUCGUUAAUGAGUGAUGGCGUGCCUUUUGUAGAAUGAACCGGCGAGUUACGAUUGCAUGCGAGGUUAAGUCGAAGAGACGGAGCCGCAGCGAAAGCGAGUCUGAAUAGGGCGAAUGAGUAUGUAGUCGUAGACCCGAAACCAUGUGAUCUACCCAUGUCCAGGUUGAAGGUGCGGUAAAACGCACUGGAGGACCGAACCCACGUACGUUGAAAAGUGCGGGGAUGAGGUGUGGGUAGCGGAGAAAUUCCAAACGAACUUGGAGAUAGCUGGUUCUCUCCGAAAUAGCUUUAGGGCUAGCCUCGGAAUUGAGAAUGAUGGAGGUAGAGCACUGUUUGGACUAGGGGCCCAUCUCGGGUUACCGAAUUCAGAUAAACUCCGAAUGCCAUUCAUUUAUAUCCGGGAGUCAGACUGCGAGUGAUAAGAUCCGUAGUCGAAAGGGAAACAGCCCAGACCACCAGCUAAGGUCCCAAAAUAUAUGUUAAGUGGAAAAGGAUGUGGGGUUGCACAGACAACUAGGAUGUUGGCUUAGAAGCAGCCACCAUUUAAAGAGUGCGUAAUAGCUCACUAGUCGAGUGACCCUGCGCCGAAAAUGUACCGGGGCUAAACAUAUUACCGAAGCUGUGGACUACACCAUUAGGUGUAGUGGUAGGAGAGCGUUCUAAGGGCGUUGAAGGUCGAUCGUGAGGACGGCUGGAGCGCUUAGAAGUGAGAAUGCCGGUAUGAGUAGCGAAAGACAGGUGAGAAUCCUGUCCACCGUAUGACUAAGGUUUCCUGGGGAAGGCUCGUCCGCCCAGGGUUAGUCGGGACCUAAGCCGAGGCCGAUAGGCGUAGGCGAUGGACAACAGGUUGAUAUUCCUGUACCAGUUGUUUUUGUUUGAGCAAUGGAGGGACGCAGUAGGCUAAGGAAUGCAUGCGAUUGGAAGUGCAUGUCCAAGCAAUGAGUCUUGAGUAGAGUUAAAUGCUUUACUCUUUAAGGACAAGUUGUGACGGGGAGCGAAAUAAUAGUAGCGAAGUUCCUGAUGUCACACUGCCAAGAAAAGCUUCUAGUGAGAAAACAACUGCCCGUACCGUAAACCGACACAGGUAGUCGAGGAGAGUAUCCUAAGGUGAGCGAGCGAACUCUCGUUAAGGAACUCGGCAAAAUGACCCCGUAACUUCGGGAGAAGGGGUGCUGACUUCGGUCAGCCGCAGUGAAUAGGCCCAAGCGACUGUUUAUCAAAAACACAGGUCUCUGCAAAAUCGUAAGAUGAAGUAUAGGGGCUGACGCCUGCCCGGUGCUGGAAGGUUAAGAGGAUGGGUUAGCUUCGGCGAAGCUCAGAAUUGAAGCCCCAGUAAACGGCGGCCGUAACUAUAACGGUCCUAAGGUAGCGAAAUUCCUUGUCGGGUAAGUUCCGACC
rnacentral:rRNA from 1 species